ACCAGCACCAGCACCAGCACCACCGGCUCCGGAAUCACCACCACCAGCCUCCAUCCCCUGCCAGCUUUGGCAGCACCACCACCAGCACCGCCGGCCUCAGGACCAAGCCCACCACCAGCGGGCGUUGACGGAGGCGGGUGUGCGGCUCUGGCGCAGCUGAGCCGUCGACCG
rnacentral:lncRNA from 1 species